AUGCCAAUAGGAGCAAUGUCUCUGUGAUUCCUUUAGUUGGUAUGGGGGGUAUUGGCAAGACAACCCUUGCACAAAUUGUCUACAAUGACAAUCAAGUAGUAAAGAACUUUGACUUGAGAGUGUGGAUUUCAGUGUCUGUAAAUUUUGAUGUUAUCGGGAUCACCAAGUCAAUUAUUGAAUCCCUGACAGGUAAAAAAUGUAAGUUGUCAGACCUAGAUCCCAUUCAGUGUAAGCUUCAGAGUUUACUCUCCGGAAGGAAGUUUCUUCUAGUGCUAGAUGACUACUGGACUGAGAAGUAUGGGGAUUGGGAUUCUUUGACUUGCCCUUUUAGAGUUGGACUUAGAGGGAGCAAAGUUGUAGUAACCACUAGGAGUUCAGUAGUGGCAUCAAUUCUUGGUACAUUUCCAGCAUAUCAUCUGAAAGUUUUGAAUGAUAAGGACUGCUGGGAAUUGAUGAAACAAAGGGCGUUUGCAAAUAAGGAUCCUGAGGAGAAUAUGAAUAUGGAAGAAAUGGGGAGAAAAAUAGCAAAGAAAUGCAGAGGCUUGCCUUUAGCAGCCCAAAGUCUUGGGGGCAUGCUUCAUUUUCAAUUCGAUGAGGAGGAGUGGGAAUGCAUCUUAAAUAGUGAGCUAUGGGACUUGCCACAAGAGAAAAAUGAUAUCUUUUCAUCAUUACUGAUUAGCUAUCAUUUUCUUCCUUCUCAUUUGAAAAAAUGUUUUGCAUAUUGCUCCAUAUUUCCAAGGAAUCAUGAGUUUGAAAGGGACAAGUUAGUCCUGCUAUGGAUGGCAGAAGGGUUCAUCCAACCUAGAGGAGGAAAGCGACUGGAAGAUGUUGGUAGUGAUUAUUUCAAUGAACUGAUUUGGAGGUCAUUUUUACAAUUUUCACAUGUCAAUCUGUACAACCAAUCAAUGUACAAAAUGCAUGACCUUGUUCACGGUAUGGCGAGGUUAAUUUCUGCUAAUACGUGCUUUUGCUUGGCGGAGGACAUAUCGUAUUGGCAUCCAGCAUUGGCCAAUGCUCGUCAUAUGUCUCUGGGUCAUGCAAAUCUGCAACAGAUAGUGUCAAAGCCCUCCACUUGGUGUAAGAACUUGCGUACAUUGUUGCUAAUGCCCAGAAACAGCAAAAGCACUGUGCAGCUUUCUUAUGAGCUAUUUUUGAAACUACGCUUCCUAAGAGCGUUGGACUUGUGUUGCAUGGACAUCUAUGAGAUUCCUGAUUCAAUUGAAUACUUGAAACAUCUUCGCUUUCUUAACCUCUCCGAGAAUCACAUCCAAAACUUACCUGAAUCCAUCACAAACAUCCUUGGUUUACAAACCCUCGUGCUAAAAAAUUGUUUUGAGUUCCUUGAACUUCCAGCAAACUUGAAGAAGCUUACUAACCUACGACAUCUUGACCUGGAUAUAAAGCAUCAGUUGAACUACAUGCCAUCAGAUCUUGGAAAUUUAGUCAAUCUUCAAACCAUGAAUGCAUUCAUCGUUGGAAAAGGUAAAGGAUGUGGUAUAGGACAGUUGGGUAAUAUGAGAUUCCUCAGGGGAUCAAUUUGCAUUACGAAUCUGGAAAAUGUGCUCAGUGUGAUGGAGGCAAACGAGGCAAAUUUAUGCAUGAAGCCAUUCCUAGAAAGUCUUCAGUUGGAAUGGAAUUAUUCUGGUGAUCGAAUAGAUCAACAAGAAGUACUUGCUGGCCUUCAACCACAUCCAAAUCUCAAGGAGCUAGCAAUAACAAAUUAUGGUGGCUUUAUGUUUCCUAGUUGGCUAGGUGGUCCGCUGCUCAAGCUCAGAACUAUUCACAUCCGAAGCUGCCAAUACUGCUCUGUCCUCCCAUCUCUUGGGCAACUUCCACUCCUCAAGCAUCUUUGUAUUGAAAAUUUGUCAAGUUUAGCAAGUAUUGACGAUCAUUUUUGUGGCUUUGGUCCUACUAAAGGUUUUCCUUCUUUAGAGUUGCUAAUCUUUCAAAACAUGCCAAAUUUGAUGGAAUGGAAAGGAUUAGAUGGACACGAUAUGCCUCUCCUCCGAGAACUCACCUUUAUAAACUGCCCAAGACUAACUAGUCUACCAUCACUCCACAACCUGAGUUUCCUCCAUAACUUGAACAUCAGCCACUGCCCAAAACUUCAAGCAUUACCAGAGCAAGGAUUGCCAGUUUCUCUCCAAAUCCUAAUCAUUUUGGAAAGUGCCAUUAUCAAAGAAAGAUGCAGAGUUGAAGAAGGUGAAGAUUGGUACAAGAUAAAGAGGAUCCCCAAGAUAGAGAUCGAUUAUGUACAGAUUCCCAUGGUAGCAUGACAAGAACUGUUCUUACUAUGAGUCUCGAUGUGCUUGCCAUCACCACCGAGAUCCAGCAAGUAAAAGAGUCAGCCAAUUCAUGAAAGAUAUGCAUAAUAUUGUGCUCAUUUUUGCUCACUAAUGAAGCAUCCUCAGUCAGUCGGAACUGAAUUGCAUAAAGGAAAACAUGACAGUAUCUUAACCAUCAUGACUGAAAACAGGGAAACGUCUGGUACAUUAGCUUUCAGAGGCAGCCGCUCUGACAUCAUGAAAUGCUACCUUCAAGCUUUAAAGCCAUUGUCAACCUUGAAGCUAUGUGUAAAGAGCAGCUCGUGUUUCACUGUUAACAGCAGUAUCCAGCUAUGUUAGCACAGACAAAUCAGAGUUCCAAAGAUGCUGCUACUUUUUGUGGGCAUAGUGUGAAUUACCUCCGGAUCUGUUCCACUAACUCAGAUUCAGUGGGGGACAAGUCUUCCAUUAUACAUCCCUGAAUUAUGCAUGUCAAAGCCACAACUACCUGUGAUCAAAUCAUCAAAUACACCAUUAGGUUAGAGCAGUUUCUUGCCGCAUGUAGCUUUUGCAAUGCAAAGUUUGUAGCAGAUAUUUUGGUUUUGAUGUUUCUGAAACUAUCCAGUUUCAAAAUGUUGUCUAAGC